GUGGAUUAGAUACCCUAGUAGUCCACGCCCUAAACGAUGUAUGCUUGUUGUUGGGAGGUUUACUUCUCAGUGACGAAGAUAACUCAUUAAGCAUACCACCUGGGGAGUACGAUCGCAAGGUUGAAACUCAAAGGAAUUGACGGGGGCCCGCACAAGCGGUGGAUCAUGUGGUUUAAUUCGAUGCAACGCGAAGAACCUUACCUGGGCUUGAAGUGUAUUUGACAGACUGCGAAAGUAGUUCUUUCUUCGGAACAGAUACAGAGGUGCUGCACGGUUGUCGCCAACU
rnacentral:rRNA from 1 species